AAAAAUGUCACUCCCUUACUUUCUUCCAUCUUCUUCUUCUCUCUUCUCCGCCGGUCCAAUUCCGAUCAAAACUCCGUUCACUCUCUGAAUCUCAUGAACUCUCACUGCUAAACUCCGAAACCUCCCCAACCCAUUGUUCUCUGUAAUUUCAUCUACCUCCAAUGGCUUCCAAGGACCCUGAGGAGGCCGCCAACACGGCCACUGAGGAAGGAAGUUUGGCCUUCAAGAAGAAGCGGGCCCGACGCGUGAGCUUUGCCGACGUCGAGAUCACUUCGGUGCAUAUCUUUAAGCGUGACGAGGACUACGAGACGCCUCUUGAGCCCCAAGCCACUCCCGAGGCUGCUCCUCCGGACAACGAGGUCCUAGGGUUCUUCAGGAACUUGGUUGAUAGCGAUGAUUCUCUUGAAUCUUCGCCUAAUUUGGAUGAUGAUGUUCUUGGGCAGAGGAAAUCGUUUCUGAGACCACUUGGAUCGCCGUCGCCGGGGAGUAUUUCUGCCGGCUCUGCAACUUCCAAUGAUGAAGACAAUUUUUUUGGACCUGUAGCAGCGAAUUUCAUUAGACCCAGGCGGUUGUCUGAUUCUGCUGCCUCCGAUGAUAAUCAUGACGUUACAAUGGAUUCAACAGCAUUUUCAAUGCAUUUUCGUAGCCUUGCUGAAUCAGACUCGGGGAGGGAGCUCAAAACUCCUACGGCUAUUCGGUCUGCAUUUGGAGAGAGAACACCGACCCGGAACACCAUGCCUACUAACUCCGACAGUUUUAUGACACUAACGAUGGCUGACAAGCUGAUUUUGCCAUCUUCGCAAUCUGGUGAUUUGGUAAGAAGUGAAGAUUCUAAUGCAAUGAGCAUCGUGGGAGAGAACUCUAAUAAAUACGAUUAUGGGAGAUUAUCUCCCUCUUUCGAUGCACUUUUGACUGAAGGAAGCAGGGAACUCUAUACUGUUUCGGUGGAUGAAAAAUUGUCCAAACAGAUUGAGACUCGUGAAGUUGAUCAGAUUGGACAACGCAAAUAUGAUAUGGAAAUUUGUGAGAGAACCGAAAUGGAAGCUGUUAGUAAGGGAAUCAACCAAUAUGCCAAACAGGGAGUUGAGGAAAGUAUACUCAACAAUGUCACACCCCAUGAAGUUUUUCAAUCCAAUGGUUUGUUACAAAGAAAAUUGUCAGAUGGGUGGGCUAAGGAAGAUUUUCUGAUUGAUAAGAGGCCUGAGACACCAAGAAGUGUUGACUAUAAGCUGAAAAAUAUAUCUCCGCAAAAAAGAUCAUUUUCUGCUGAACAGAAAACAUCUUUGGCUACUUCUAAUUCACCUUCAUUUUCUGCUCUUGUGACUCCUAACUCGAAGCUGUCAAAUUAUAGAUUGAGUACAGGAAGCAUGAAGUUUGGUAUGGGUCUGUCGUCCAAGCAGAGAAGUAUUCCUAAGUUCAGCCUUCCUGAACCUUCUCCAUGUGUUUCGAGUAUUAAGGAAGAAAUUGGCAGAUUAAAAUCCAGACUAUCAAGUUAUUCUUCUAUGGUUAACUUGAGUGGUCAACCUGAACGUUGCAAGGAUCUUGAAAGCAAAUACAUAGACAUUCCUGCUGUGCGUUUAGAAGAACAACUUUCUAGAUUGAAUGGAAACAACGGUGAAUUUGAAAGUUCAUUUAGCACUAGUGGCAGUGUAGUCAAACCUUCAAAAGACUUCCCUAGGCUGAGCCAAAGUGAAGAACCGAAAGGUUUCACUGAUGCUGGAGAAACACCAGGCUAUAUGGCUAUGGCAAACUUUUCCAAUAUGCAACCUAGUGAACCGGCUAUAGAAUUAAAGUCACCCGCUCAAGCUACCUGGACUGAGAAAAAAGAUCUUAUGCAACAUAUUUUGAUUUCUGAAGAUCAUUUGUCGAGGUCAUCUACUAGUAUCAAAAUUGAUGACGUGACGGACAUUGGACCCGAUGACAGAGAACAAAAUGACUCAACUAGUAUACAUGAUACACUUGUUUCAUCUCCUUUGCGAAGUCCAGAUGUAAGGUUAUUAGGAAACAUUGAAUGUCCGUCUGGUAGCUUUGGUGAACUGAAGCAGUGUGACCUACAGGUCAAGCAUGUUAGUGCUUGUUUGACGCAAGGUCAAGCUGCAGCUGCAGAUACAAGCAAUACCAGUCCUUUGACUAAGAUUGCUGACAAUUCAAGUUCAUUGCAAUCCAAAAGUGGAGCUGUGUCAGCUUCACCGUUCCUGAAAGGUCAAUCUUGGGUAGAUGGGGAUGAUAAUGGAGUUAACCUUUCAAAUUUGCAGAAUAAUUUUGUAACAUCUAAGAAUUUGCAACUGUCUUCAAGAGAUGGGAACAUCCUGAAUUCUCGGUUGGAAAGUCCUGCCAAGAGCUCCUCACCGCAGUUUCAAAAGCCUUGGACAAGUGAACGAUCCAUUAUGCAGAGUCCCAUCAAUGGAAUGGCAAACUACAGUCCCAGAAGGAUAAUUUCAACCCAAACAUCAUCUGGGAAGAAAGAGCCCAAGGUUUCCAUCUCUUGUAUGUCGACUCCGAGUCCUUUCAAGAAUGAACGAACUCAGAGUUCUGCAAGGGAAAAGCCAUUUCAAAGUCCCUUCAGGAAUGACCCUUUUAAUGAAACAAAAGACGAUGGGACCUUCAUGAGGAAAGUUAGGGCUUCUCCAACAUCCAGUUUGAGUGGACAUAUUAAUCAUGAUAAUUAUCAAGCAAGCCACAUAUUGGUGAGUUCUUCAAGGAAGACCAAUCACCGCCUUUCAGGGAGCAAGAGAAGAAACAUUGAUUUGAUAACUCUUGACGGGGAUCAGGGUGACAAUGACGUAAUAGUAAGGACUCAGCGAAGCCUAAAACUUAAUCAUAGUGGAAGUUGUAAUGUGGGCUCUCCGUUAGAAGAGUCCAACCAAAUAAGCAAUGGAAGCAAGAGGACUGAGGGCAAUACACUUAUGCAUUGGACAGAUAUGGCAAUAAAGUUUUUAGCAGAGACAAAUGAUUUGCUACCCCCAUCGAUCAACAAGUUGAACGCAAAAGCAAUUGAGAGGCUUGAAGAUACUUUGGUUCACCUUUUGAAGGUUAAAGAAUAUGAACUGCUGUGUUCUGAAAUCCAAUCUCAGAAAGUCAUUGGGAAUCUUGGAGCAAUACGUAAAAGAGUAGUGGAAGCCAGAUCGUUGGUGUAUAAAGUAGCAUAUCAGAAGGCAAAGCUUCAGUUGGUUUGUAUAAAGCGUGAUGGAUAUCAGAAUAGAGCACAGUCAUUGAACUCUCAUUUUGAGGAUUUUCAAAUGUUGAAGUUGAACUAUGACCGCCUCAGGAAAUGUGGUUCAAAGGACAGUCAAGUUGACGAUGGAAAUAGUCUUUCAUGCCCAAUUGAUUCUGAGGCGUCCUGUGAUAGAGCCAGCAUGAUAAAGCACGAAAUUGAAUCUUUAGAUGGGAAGAUAAAGGGAUUAAGCCAAUAUUUUUCAACAUAUUGUGACUUGAAAGGAGUAACUAGUUCAACUGACAUCCUUGGAUUAGUUAUUGAUCAUCUAAGGAAGAGAAAGCUCUGCAGGUCUAUUUAUCAGGGUUUGCAGAUGUGGAAGGUAGAUGAUUUUGAGAAAAAGAAUGAUCAUUACACCAUACUUCUCAACUACCUUAGUUAUGCCUACCAAAGGAUUACAAUUAAAGCCAAUCCACUCCCGGGUGUAACCAUCUUAAAUACAUUGAAUGAUACUCAUAUUGAGAAGAACUUUCCAGAAAUGAAUGCUUGCUGUGCAUUUGCUUUUGUGAUAAACGUUGAGAAGACACGGAAGUAUAAUGCCUCCUGGCAUUUGCCCAAAGAAACUCAAAUGAUGAGUUCUUUUCUACACAACCUGCUGGAUGUGAUUGCGGAAAUGCAGAUAGCCCAGAUAGAGAUUUCAAAUCUCAUCCUAAUAAGAUUUUACUCACCUUCAGACAAGAAGCUCGAUUUGCAGCUUAGUUUCAUCAACUUCCAAAGUGGCAGGAAGGUAAAUCUUGUUCUGGACGUAUCAGAUUUGAGUCGAGGGAUUUACCCUUCUGAAGUUCUUCCGCAUAAGGUCGAAUCUCCUGCUUCGAAUAAAUACACACUCUCAGAGUCAAUGUUAAAUGACAUUAGAGCUGCAGUUGGGAAUUUAGAUUCUGGAUAUUCGAGGAUUUUAAGAGUUUGUAGAUGUGUUUCGGAAGUUGUACAAAGGUCAUCAAGCUGAUGCCGACAAUAGCAUUUUCUCUGUAUUUCUGUAUGUUGCUGGCAGUUCCAGCAUGAUUGUAAAAUCUAGAUUUAUUCAGCUGUCAGGUAUUUUCCCCUUGAAAAUACACGGAGCAAUGAGAAUUUUAGCUAACCCCUUAGGAUGAGUUACCUCGUGAUUUAUGUAUGUAGUUGAAGCUUGCAAUUUAACCAAAUACAUCUAAACUUUGAGCAAGAUCAAUGAUGAUAAAGGCUGAGAUUAAUCAAUCUUGGUUUCAUGACUUUGACGUUUCAUCUAAUAGUUGAAGUUCAUCAUGGAUGAUGGAAAAGUGACUUGUGAGGAUCAAGUUGGAGCUACACCACGAGGUUAAAGCUAUCAGUGCACAGGCUUCAUCAAGCAUCAUCAUUCAAAAUUAGGAAAGAUGGGUUUGAAGAAAAAAAAGAGGUGAAAUCACUUUGCUCGUAUAGCAUGUUCUAGGGAUACAAUAAUGUUGAACAGAGAAAGGUGGGAGGAGGACAAAGCACUUUUGAACACUUUUUGGGUUGGUGGGGUUGAAUGCUUCAUUGUUGAAUCUUUGCUGUCUUUUCUUCAUUUGCCAAGUAGGUCUUCGAUUCCCCUUAAAUCUCUCUCUCUCUCUCUCUCUCUCUCUCUCUUUGAGCUUUGAAGAUAGCAUCUAAGAAACAGGGUUUUGAAGAAGAUCUAUUGCAAUCGACAAUUCGUCUCUCA